rnacentral:rRNA from 1 species
UGAGCAAUCUGCCCUUCUCUUCGGAAUAAGCGUGGGAAACCGCGUCUAAUGCCGAAUACGACCUCCUUUCGCAUGAUCGGAGGUGGAAAGCUCCGGCGGAGAAGGAUGAGCUCGCGGCCUAUCAGCUAGUUGGUGUGGGUAAUGGCCCACAAGGCGACGACGGGUAGCCGGCCUGAGAGGGUGACCCGGCCACACUGGGACUGAGACACGGCCCAGACCUCCGUACGGGAGGNAG